rnacentral:rRNA from 1 species
CGCUGGCGGCAGGCCUAACACAUGCAAGUCGAGCGGUAGCACAGAGAGCUUGCUCUCGGGUGACGAGCGGCGGACGGGUGAGUAAUGUCUGGGAAACUGCCUGAUGGAGGGGGAUAACUACUGGAAACGGUAGCUAAUACCGCAUAACGUCGCAAGACCAAAGAGGGGGACCUUCGGGCCUCUUGCCAUCAGAUGUGCCCAGAUGGGAUUAGCUAGUAGGUGGGGUAAUGGCUCACCUAGGCGACGAUCCCUAGCUGGUCUGAGAGGAUGACCAGCCACACUGGAACUGAGACACGGUCCAGACUCCUACGGGAGGCAGCAGUGGGGAAUAUUGCACAAUGGGCGCAAGCCUGAUGCAGCCAUGCCGCGUGUAUGAAGAAGGCCUUCGGGUUGUAAAGUACUUUCAGCGAGGAGGAAGGCAUUGUGGUUAAUAACCGCAGUGAUUGACGUUACUCGCAGAAGAAGCACCGGCU